rnacentral:rRNA from 1 species
AGCGAACGCUGGCGGCAGGCCUAACACAUGUAAGUCGAACGAAGCCUUCGGGCUUAGUGGCGGACGGGUGAGUAACACGUGGGAACGUACCUUUUGGUUCGGAACAACUCAGGGAAACUUGAGCUAAUACCGGAUGAGCCCUUAGGGGGAAAGAUUUAUCGCCGAAAGAGCGGCCCGCGUUAGAUUAGCUAGUUGGUGAGGUAAAGGCUCACCAAGGCAACGAUCUAUAGCUGGUCUGAGAGGAUGAUCAGCCACACUGGGACUGAGACACGGCCCAGACUCCUACGGGAGGCAGCAGUGGGGAAUCUUGCGCAAUGGGCGAGAGCCUGACGCAGCCAUGCCGCGUGAAUGAUGAAGGUCUUAGGAUUGUAAAAUUCUUUUACCAGGGACGAUAAUGACGGUACCUGGAGAAAAAGCCCCGGCUAACUUCGUGCCAGCAGCCGCAGUAACAC